CAAAAAAAAAAAUAACAAUAAUAAUCAUAAAAUCGUCUUAGCGCUUUGCCGUUCUCGUUGUUUGCGAAUUUUCAAAAUUUACGGAAUUUCAAUUUCAACUUAAGUGGAUUCGCGUGUUUUGGCACUCGGUCGUCGUACGCAUCGCAAAUCGAGGACGUCCGUCCCCUUGGCUUGCAGCGUAACGAAAUCCCGCGUAGGGUCGAUUACGGGACAAUAAAAAAAAUACA